UACGAAGGGUGCAAACGUUGCUCGGAAUCAUUGGGCGUAAAGCGCACGUAGGCGGCUUCGCAAGUCGGAUGUGAAAUCCCUCGGCUCAACCGAGGACGUGCAUACGAAACUGCGGAGCUUGAGUGCUGAAGAGGAUCGCGGAAUUCCCGGUGUAGAGGUGAAAUUCGUAGAUAUCGGGAGGAACACCAGUGGCGAAGGCGGCGAUCUGGGCAGACACUGACGCUGAGGAGCGAAAGCGUGGGGAGCGAACAGG
rnacentral:rRNA from 1 species